UUCCUCCAGAAGCCUCCCAGACCGACUUUUUUGCUCUCUUUUUUCUUCCUCCUGCUUUCUAAACAGCCUCCUUCACUCCCUCAGAUGACUGCCUCCUUAACUGCGGCUCUUCCUCCAACGCCACCUUCUUCAACGACUUCUUCAUCGGAGAUUUCAAUUCCGGCUCGGGUUUUGUCUUCAACAACAAAAUCCCACCUCCAAACUCACCCUCUCCUUACCACACAGCAAGAGGUCUCACCACUACUUCAAGCUAUAGCUUAAGCAUCAGGAAAAUUGGAACUCAUUUGGUUUGACGAUAUAAUGGAACCUGUGCUGAUUCGUGCAAUGGAAUCUUACAAAUAUCAUUAUAAGAUCAGAGUUCGAAUAUCAAGAUUGUGGAGAGCAAAAAGUACAAUACUGACAAAAAUGAUGGUCUGCAAUGCGUUUUGGUUGAUGAAAUGGGUGAUGCAGUUCAUGCAAUUGUAACUGAAUCUGAUUACCACUUGGUUCACAAAAAAUUGCAUCAAGGCAAAGUGUAUGAUAUUGAUCAUUUCUUUACACGAAAAAGCCAGGAGAGUUACAAAAUUGUUGAUCAUUAAGUGCAAGUGUACUUCAAUGCAAAGACUGUCUUUGAACCAGUUGAAGAAAGCUUGCCACCAAUUCCACAACAUCGGUUCUAUUUUGUAGAUUUUGACCAGCUGAGGGCACGCAUUAACAACAAUACAAUUCUCUCAGAUGUUUAUGGCUGUUUGAAGUCAGUUCUACCAGUGCAUCAAGCUCCUGUCAAGGAUAAAGAGGAAUCAAAAUGUGAAAUUUAUCUACAAAACUUAAGAAGAGAAGAUCUUAGAGUCACUCUCUGGGGUAACAUUGCCAGACAGUUUGACAUACAGAGGAUUAAAAAACUGUCUCCACCAGUGCUCAUAGCGUUGACCAGUUUAAAGAUUAAGGAGCUCAUGGGCUGCUGUUGCUGUUCAUGAGAAGCUCGAUUACUGGUAUCUCUGUCUUAACACAGUAGAAGGCAUUGCAUUCUAAGACCUCGAUGAUCGAUUGGACCGGUUUCAAGUAUCGUUCGAAAGCCUUCUUUACUAUUCAUUUUGGGAAACUUUUAAACUUUUGAUUUUGUGAAAUUGACCUCAUUUGAUCAAAUCGGAGGAUCCGAUUGAGCAAUCAGAGAUAUAUGAAAGACUCCAGUUCUAGGUGAUAGCUGAGAGAGUGAUUUAGAAUAGAAAAGAGAGCAGCAGGCAAAGGAACAGUGAUUUUGGGUGAUGUCACAUCGAUCUCCCAGUUUUGGUAGUUGAUCGAUAGACACAGAGAGAGGGUUCGAUCGAUAGACUAAAGGAGAGAGGGGUAGAGUACCAGUUUGAUCAUAGAGAUGGAAAGAGGCUUUAUCACCUGCUCGGGACAUCAACUUGAAGCUUGAACAGGUGAAGGAAAGUACUACCUUUUAGGUAAUUUGAGGGAUGCAUUUAUUUCUCUCUGGGAUUGAUUGCAUGUAAUUUUGUAUCAUUUGUUUUGAGUUUUGGGAGUGCUUUUCAUGUUUGUGGUUUCUGGGUCUAUUUACAUGGUGAGCUCCUUAUAGUAUAUGCUGGUAAGGAAUAUGAAGGCAGGGUAAAUCGAAUUCAAAAUUGAAUGCCUUUGUUUGAACUUGAGUAUUCAGCAUAGGAAGAUCAUAUUACUCUGGCAAAACUUGCAAGCUCUGCCUACUUUUUGUAUCUUCUAUUAAUGAUAAUGUCUGGGAUUUUGGUUUACUUCUUAAUAUCAUACUAGAGGGUCAAUUAUUAUAGUACAAAGCUUUUAAAAUCUGAUUUGAGUAUCUCCAGGGCUACAGCACAUAGUACAAAUGGAAAAGAAAAAAAAAGCUAAUAUGUAACUGAUGCAUAAAAGUUAAUUUUAAAUCCUAAACUGAAUUAAUAUAUUCAUCUUAUUUAAUUUUCCAUAUAUUCAUUGCAUUUAAACAUAGCUGAUCACAAGCAAAACAGCAGAAGAAGAAUGUAGGUCGUUUCAUAUAUUUGUAUCAGUUGUAGGUAGAAUCAACAAUCUGUUACUUUAUUUUAUUGAAUGAUGCAUAAUGAGAUUUAACCUAUUUGGAAUUUCUCUCAUGCCGCAAUUCAUAUGUUUUUUUUUCCAUAAUAUGUAUAUGAGCCUUUAAUUCUUUUUAAGGCUAUUAUACACUGUUGCACCACCAGGCUAUUAAAUGGAAGAUAAUUGCAAUGGCACGUUAUACUUAAAAUCAUGCUCUGUUCUGAGUCAUAUGGCAUCAUGUUUGCUUGCAUGUCCUGACCAUAAUCAGAUUAAGGAAUAACUUUAUCAAGAAAAGAGAGGCCAAUAUAUGUAACAGGAAUAACCAAGUGAACCCAUUGAAAGUAAACUCUGUAGUUCAAGCUUUGAUUGCUCUGUAUUUUCUGCCUACAUUUUACAACUGAAGUUUUACUCAAAUUACAAGUCUA